rnacentral:tRNA from 1 species
GCCGGUGUAGAGCAGCAGGAGUGCUCGCUUGCCUGUCACGCAAGAGGCCGCGGGUUCAAGUCCCGUCACUGGCGC